rnacentral:rRNA from 1 species
GACAGAGGGUGCAAACGUUGCUCGGAAUCACUGGGCGUAAAGGGCGUGUAGGCGGGAAUGUAAGUCGGGCGUGAAAGCCCCCAGGCUCAACCUGGGGAACUGCACUCGAAACUGCGUUUUCUUGAGUAUCGGAGAGGAAAGCGGGAAUACCUGGUGUAGAGGUGAAAUUCGUAGAUAUCAGGUGGAACACCAGUGGCGAAGGCGGCUUUCUGGACGAUUACUGACGCUGAGACGCGAAAGCGUGGGGAGCAAACAGG